GAAAAAGGGUUCCCCUUUCUCCGUAUCCUCACAUCUUCUAUUUGUGUCCUAUUACUUAGGCACCUGCGUUAAAUGUCCGCAUGUGGUGCCUGCGUCCUGUGUUCAAACACUGGCAGGAAACUGUGUCCACAGGAGGAGAUCUGGGUAUUAUCAUGAGCUACAGGUCUUCCAGCCUCAUAUGCAGAUGAUUGCUGGAGCCACCUUGCUGUCCUGGACUCCGCAUGGUUCCCCCCCGGCCAUGACACCCGCUGGCCCGCCGUCCUGCCGCCCCACAUUCCAUCAUUGGACCCCACGGGGCACUCUGGAAGCCGUGCUGACCCCCGGCCUGGGAGCCAGGACCCUCUCCAUCCGUGUGUCCUGCUCGCCUUUGUACCCACGACCCCUCCAGCAGCGGCAGGGCCAAAUACACAUUUGUGGGCUACCGCGCAAGCUCAAGAAGUUAAUCCAGGGGAAGAGCUUCAGCAGUACUUGGCACCUGGUGUGCACCUGUUGAAUGUGAGCUCGGACGGUGGGAGCCCCUGGUCCCUUCUCUGCACUCUCUGCUUCCCUUCCUCUUCCUGCCAAGAAGCCAAAUCCAUGUGGUGGUGGGUACAGCGUUGCGGUUGGCUUUCUUCACCGUCUACCUGAUGCUCCGUGCUGCUGAGAUCCACGAGGUUUUGGGGCAUUCAUCCCUCCGCUGUGGAGGGGGGCUUUUUGCAGAGGCUCCAUGGCCCAUGGGGACAAGAUUUCAGUUGCCUUGGUGCCUCUUAGGGCGUGGUCACACGCUGAGAGCAGAGGCCAUGGGGGUUAAUGAGGAAGGAAGCUGGUGGGCCACUGCCCAAUGGAGUGGCUUUUAUAAAGUCCCCUCGUCCCUGCGACAGCAGGAUGUACAAAUUGUGUGGAGGAGUGCAGGGCCAAGAGUCAGGGCCAGAGACCCCAGUCCAGCUGCCCACUGGCAAGUCCUUGCCCUGCCCAAGCCCUGCUUUCUCCAUCUGCACAAUGGCCGGUGUUGGAGGCACAUGUUAGAGCCCCUUUGGGAGCCUUUCAAACAUACCUCGCCCCAGAGAGCCUUCCCUGAUGGGCCUGGACAAUGUCUGGAAAUAAAGUCUCCCCUGUGCAGCCAGAGUCAAGAACCACAGGCCAGAUGAGUCUGAGGGCUUUUCCAACUACACAGCUAGACACUGUUUUAUCUGGAAAAAUAAACAGGUUCCCCAAAGAGCUGAUCUUGUCUGGCAAGGGAGAAACAUCAACAAACUUAUUUAUUCAACAAAUAUUUGUCAGCCGUGUCCUGUGUGCAGAGCCCUGGGCUGGGUGCUGGUGCUGGGAAGCCGGAGGUGACAGCUCGUGUUUAUCCAGGGCUUUCUGAGUGCUGAGGGUUCUGCUAAGCACAUCAGGGUAUCGGUUCGUCUCUCCUCCGCAGUGCUGGCAGAGGAGCACUGGUCCCUCCCCAUCACCACCUCCCCGAGGGAGCAUGUCCCUGCCGGAGAGUGGGAAUCGCACAGAAUUAUAGGCCAGUUCUGUGUGGGCAUAUGGGUGUAACCACCACGUCAGCAGCCUCGGGUUACCUGAGCAUCUAUCUCUUUCCCUGACAAACAUUUACAGUUUAGUAUAAAGAAAAAUAUGAUUCCAGAAGAGUUACGCAAAUCUGCAGGGUGUGGAGCUUUCAUUUUCCUAAGACCUGAACGCUCCAAUUUCCCUUAUCAUCCUGCAAGAAGGACAGUGUGAUGGAGCUUAAGCAGUCUGGCAGAGAGCCAUUGAACCCUCCCUUCUUCCACCUUUUUGUUUUAUUCAGGCCCUCAAAGAAUGGGAUGAUGCCCAUCCACUUUGGGAAGGGCAAAUUCUACAGAUUCAAGUACUUUUUUCUUCUGGAAAGGCAUCAAUAGGCACAUCUAGAAAUAAGACUCAAGCAGGUCUGGGUAUCCCAUAAUGUAGUCAAGUUGACCACAAAAUUAACUAUCACACCAACCAUCCAAUUAUCCAUCCAUCCACCCAUCUCUCCAUCCAUCCAUCCAUCCAUCCAUCCACC